rnacentral:lncRNA from 1 species
UCAACUCUUCUACCAAUGAAGAAAAGGACCUUUCAAGCCUGAUCAGUUCAGCUACCUCUGUUUUGCCUGUCCUAACUUGAGAACGUGGGUCUUCAGUUUUGUUAGCUGAAUAAGGAAAGUCUUCUCUGCAGUAGUCAAAGUACCUGAAACUCUUUCUUAGUUUUGGAUACAACCAAACUGCAUCAAGACAGACUGCUUGAAGACAAAAGUUUAUCAACUCCAACGGUUCUUUUUGCAACGACUCUUUUCUAGUGGUAUAUAUACUAGAAG